rnacentral:rRNA from 1 species
UUCCGGUUGAUCCUGCCGGACCCGACUGCUAUCAGAGUGGGACUAAGCUAUGCGAGUCGACGUAGCAAUGCGUGGCGAACGGCUCAGUAACACGUAGUCAACAUGCCCAGGGGACGUGGAUAACCUCGGGAAACUGAGAAUAAACCACGAUAGGUCACGAUUUCUGGAAUGGAUCAUGGCAUAAAUCUACAUGGCCCCUGGAUUGGACUGCGGCCGAUCAGGCAGUUGGUGAGGUAAUGGCCCACCAAACCUAUAACCGGUACGGGCUCUGAGAGGAGAAGCCCGGAGAUGGGCACUGAGACAAGGGCCCAGGCCCUAUGGGGCGCAGCAGGCGCGAAACCUCUGCAAUAGGCGAAAGCCUGACAGGGUUACUCUGAGUGAUUUCCGCUAAGGGGAUCUUUUGGCACCUCUAAAAAUGGUGCAGAAUAAGGGGUGGGCAAGUCUGGUGUCAGCCGCCGCGGUAAUACCAGCACCCCGAGUGGUCGGGACGAUUAUUGGGCCUAAAGCAUCCGUAGCCGGUUCUGCAAGUCUUCCGUUAAAUCCAGCCGCUCAACGGAUGGGCCGCGGAGGAUACUAUAGGACUAGGAGGCGGGAGAGGCAAGCGGUACUCAGUGGGUAGGGGUAAAAUCCUUUGAUCCAUUGAAGACCACCAGUGGCGAAGGCGGCUUGCCAGAACGCGCUCGACGGUGAGGGAUGAAAGCUGGGGGAGCAAACCGGAUUAGAUACCCGGGUAGUCCCAG